AGUGAACGCUGGCGGUAGGCCUAACACAUGCAAGUCGAACGGCAGCACAGGAGAGCUUGCUCUCUGGGUGGCGAGUGGCGGACGGGUGAGGAAUACAUCGGAAUCUACUCUGUCGUGGGGGAUAACGUAGGGAAACUUACGCUAAUACCGCAUACGACCUACGGGUGAAAGCAGGGGAUCUUCGGACCUUGCGCGAUUGAAUGAGCCGAUGUCGGAUUAGCUAGUUGGCGGGGUAAAGGCCCACCAAGGCGACGAUCCGUAGCUGGUCUGAGAGGAUGAUCAGCCACACUGGAACUGAGAAACGGUCCAGACUCCUACGGGAGGCAGCAGUGGGGAAUAUUGGACAAUGGGCGCAAGCCUGAUUCAGCCAUACCGCGUGGGUGAAGAAGGCCUUCGGGUUGUAAAGCCCUUUUGUUGGGAAAGAAGUCCAGCUGGCUAAUACCCGGUUGGGAUGACGGUACCCAAAGAAUAAGCACCGGCUAACUUCGUGCCAGCCGCCGCCGUAA
rnacentral:rRNA from 1 species